rnacentral:miRNA from 1 species
GAGCCAUCCCUCUAGCCCCUGGUCUACUUUUAAAUGUGCCUCAGGGACUGGAGAGAAGACUCAG